UAUCUCUGAAAAUAAGAAAGACUUGGGGGUUUGAGACUCCCUCCUAGCGCUUUGGGGGGGGGUUGAGACACUACAGUUCCCGGCAUGCAACGCAGGAGGCGAGCGCCGUAUUGAACGCUGGGAGCCGUAGUCUCUGGUGCUGAGUCAGUUGCGCUGUUUGGAUCUUGCAAGUUUUCCAGCGUGUUUGGGAAACUCAGCGCAUGUUUUAAGGUUUACACUUUGUUCUGAUUGCAGUGGAGAUCUGUGCUUAUUCCUGCAUCCCCCGGUCUGCACAGCUUUCAGGAGUGGGUCUAGAAAGCCUCCGCGCCUCAGCCAGGCCCCCGUGUGCUGGACGCCGGCCGUUCCGAGUCUGGGCCUCUGGUCCGGACGUGCUUUUCCGAAUCUGGCUUCUCGGGCGUCCCUCGGGCCUCCUGGACCCUUCGCCUCUGCGUAUUCCCCGGCCGGAACCCCACUGAUUCGGUCUGCAGGAGGAACUGGUGGGGUUCCCAUCCCCGACGCAGAUCGCGAACAAAUUUGAUGCCUUCGACUCCUGUAAAGCACAAAGAGGGGCGCUUGGCGGCCCUGGAGCCGCCGUGAAUCGGGCGGGGAGCGGCCGUCAAGUGAGGCCUAGCACGGACUCGGAAGGACGCACCUGUGGAUGUUUCAGAGCUAAACCCGGGUGCUGUAAAUGAGAUCGGAUAGCAGCUUUGUAACUUAAUAGAAAUGCGCUGCGGGCCUUAGGCAAGGCGCCUGGCCCAGCAGGUGUCUUUCCUGUGAAGGGGGCAGCCCUUCACCCUAGCUUGCGCCUGUGACAAGUUUUCCGGAACUCCCCCUACACACAGGGAGGUGGGCUCAGGAUCACAAAACGAAGAUGAAGCAUUCAGUUGCAGCGCAUCAAAAGGGAUGGGAGUUUGGGGAGUGGUCGAAUGAUUGGCAGGCCUAACUUGGAUUGCUUUUCAACUCUGAUCUUCAAAUGGUUGAUGUCCCUCAAUGUCAAAUGACAACACAAAAGGAACAAUUUGCGGGAAAGAUUUCCAUAAUCAGGAGGAAGACUUAAAAGCAGUGGUGUUGCUGGAUGCCCCAGGAUGAAAAUAGGUCUAAAAGACCUGAGACAUCCUCUGGGCCAAGAGAGAGGGUGCACUGGGUUCCUUUGAAAACCCCGGGCACUCUUUCUGCCUUACGUGUGCUCCACUCUGAGCUUUAGAAGAGGGACUUCGGCACCCAGCACCUCCCUCAGCCAAGUCCAGAGACCCCUCCCCGCUGACCUGGUCAGUGCUCUGGUCUCCACUCUGUGGACAGCCACGUCCCUGCUUCCUCUGCCCACCGGGGGAACGCACAGCCCUUCCUGCCCGCCCAGUGGCCCGCCUGGCCAGUUCAUUCAUAGAACAUCGGUAUCUGUGGGCCCUGGAGACCUCGUGCAGCUGGACGAGCAGGAUCCUCCAAGAGGUGCUGUGGGAAGAGACCCAAUCUCAGAAUUUCCACCGUGUUGCCGCAGGCUUUAGACAGGAGGAGGAGUGGGUGUCCUCAGGGUGAGCCAGGAGGGAAGACUGCAGAUCCGAGAACCUAGGGCUAAAGUUACAGUGGACCCUCGAGUUACGACUGGCCUGACGUGCAAACAACUCGGGUCAUGACUGGAAGUUGAGUUUUAACUUACGACCAAAGCCUUGAGUUACGACUCAGAUGCUGGCCGCUUGUGCUUCCGCAUGGUCUCAGAUACAGAUUGAACCCUAAAGAGCUCUGGAAGGAACAUGACAGCAUUCCUUCCUGCGUGGGGCUCACUGAGAGACCCUGGGCCGGCGUCUCUGAGCACACCAAGAUCCGCCUGUGUACAGGAGAGACUGAAGGCUGUGCAGAGGAGCCCGAGCCUUCAGUUGACUGGAGAACAAACUGAGUUCGGGAGUCAAGGGCCCACUGUAUUAGUGAAGGGCUCCCUGUCAAUUUUGUAGACCUCUCCAUGCCUUGGAUGAGUUGGUUUUCAAGGACCGGUCAGCUAUAAAAGAGAAUCCUAACCCAGUCACUUUAAAGACCAAGAUGCAGGUUAGGAACGACAGAGACAGCGAACUCAGACAUCACCUGCAGCUUCAUGUUGUGCGGCUCCCUAGGGAAGGAACUUUGAAGUGAGAAUACUCCUUGAGUGCUUAAAAUUGUUAUCCUAUUCCUGCGCCACGUAUUUUUCCCAUUUUGAAGAUUUCUGAAACCAAAUAGGAACCAAGAACAGGUCAGGAAAGAUAACUGAGGGAGUUGCGCUUGGAGCAGACUCCGAACCCCUGGCAGUUAACAUGCGGGUCCGGGGCCAGUAUUCUCCAGCAGGGAACCUGCCGGACACUGCGCCUUUUCUGGAGUCACUUUUGGUGUCACUAGUGGAGGGGAGCUGCUGGCCUCCAGGGGGUAGUGGCCAGGGUCACUGCUAACUGCCCACAGUGCACAGGGGGCCCCCUACCGUGGGAAUGCCAGCGUGCCAAGGUUGAGAGCCCUGAGCAAAAGGAAAGAGAACCAGCUUUUAUUCAUUGCCUGGUGCUGUGCAUGGUGGCGCACACCUCUAAGCCCAGCUCAGGAGGCUGAGGCAGGAGGAUCACUAUGAACUCA